ACUUAAAUAGCUUAAGGUAAGAGCGUGGCAUUGAAGCUGCCAAGGAGGUUGUUUAAAUCUUUAAGUA
rnacentral:tRNA from 1 species